rnacentral:rRNA from 1 species
AUGGCUACCGAUGUACGGAGAGGCGAAGCUGCUGCUCGUCAUCUACCUCUGGCACCCCUCAGCACACGGGGUGCGGGGCACAUGUACGAUGGCUUCCUCCAUCCGCAGGUGGCGUGGCAUGAGGCCGACAUCGACCGGGGCCUGCUUGAGCUGAGGGCGAGGGCGAGGGACGUGACGGCGGCACAACUCAAGGCAGCGGCUGCCAUCGGUCAAGUGUGGCUCGUCGAGGCUGCCCGCUGUGCUUCGUCAUAG